CCUACGGGAGGCAGCAGUGAGGAAUAUUGGUCAAUGGACGCAAGUCUGAACCAGCCAUGCCGCGUGCAGGAUGACGGCUCUAUGAGUUGUAAACUGCUUUUGUACGAGGGUAAACCCCGAUACGUGUAUCGGGUUGAAAGUAUCGUAAGAAUAAGGAUCGGCUAACUCCGUGCCAGCAGCCGCGGUAAUACGGAGGAUCCGAGCGUUAUCCGGAUUUAUUGGGUUUAAAGGGUGCGUAGGCGGGGUGAUAAGUUAGAGGUGAAAUGUUGGGGCUCAACCCCGGAACUGCCGGUGAUACUGGUGGCCUAGAGAAUAGUUGCGGUAGGCGGAAUGCAUGGUGUAGCGGUGAAAUGCUUAGAGAUCAUACAGAACACCGAUUGCGAAGGCAGCUUACCAAACUAUAUCUGACGUUGAGGCACGAAAGCGUGGGUAGCAAACAGGAUUAGAUACCCCAGUAGUC
rnacentral:rRNA from 1 species